UUCCUGCUCCGCCUCUGCAUCUGGCCCAGGGACCUCAUGGCAGGGAGGCCCAGUGCCUGGCCCUUUGCCCCGGAUGGGGUGGGCCCUGGGUCAUGGCGGGGUGGGCGGGGAGGUCAGGAGGGCCAUGGGGAGGGGACGGUGGGGUGCUUUGCCCUGAGAACAUAGGCCCCUGGCACCCCGGAGCCCCCGGCAGCUGCUGGCGUCUGUCAGCCACCUCGAGGGCGGCCGGGGGCCUGCUGGCCGUUACAUCUUCCUGACAGGCCCCUCUUCUGAGGCCAGGAAAAAACAACAACAGUUCCUCCCCCUCAUGGCAACCCAUUUGUUAGAUGAAGGCCGGGCACCAGCACCUUUAACCUCCUCAAAGUCAGCAUUUCCCUGUCAAGGCCCCGCAGGGCCAGAGACAGAGAUGGAUGGAAGGAGCUGUGUGUGGAAAAAGCCCUGUGGCCUCGCGAGGAGAGCCCUGUUUUCAGGAAGGGAGGGGACCCCGGUUUCUGAUUGUUGUGGGGGAGAAUAAGGGGAGGAAGAGGAAAAGUGUGAGUCACGAGGAGGUCCCCCAGGAGCGUGGGGGCGCCCAGGAGGGCUUUCAGCCUGGCCACACCUGAGCCAUCACUCGGAACUUGUGGAAUGUCCCCCAUUGUGUGUGGCAGGCAGGCGUGUACUUGGAGGGACAGGGCUGCUUCUGUUCGUGGCCACCCCACCCACCUGUGCUUGGAGAGGCAGGGGGUCCGGGAAGGGCCCUGGACCUGGAGGCAGAAGAUAUGGGUUCAAGGUGUGACCUUGGCCGGGCGCGGUGGCUCAAGCCUGUAAUCCCAGCACUUUGGGAGGCCGAGACGGGUGGAUCACGAGGUCAGGAGAUCGAGACCAUCCUGGCUAACACGAUGAAACCCCGUAUCUACUAAAAAAUACAAAAAACUAGCCGGGUGAGGUGGUGGGCGCCUGUAGUCCCAGCUACUUGGGAGGCUGAGGCAGGAGAAUGGCGUAAACUCGGGAGGCGGAGCUUGCAGUGAGCUGAGAUCCGGCCACUGCACUCCAGCCUGGGCGACAGAGCGACACUCCGUCUCAAAAAAAAAAAAAA
rnacentral:lncRNA from 1 species